UUCAACACAAGUAUCAACCUAUUUUCUAGUUCUGAUAUUCUUUCCUCACUCUGGUCCAUGUUCUUGUCUAUAUUUUCAGUAAAGUUUUCAACAUACUAGAUUUCCAUUUGAUGAAGUUUCAUGGAUUCAAAUUCUUUGACCUAUGAUGAGACAGCAACAUCAUUGUAGAAGUGUGUGGCUGCUCACCUCAUGGUGCCAGGAAGAAGUGAAGGUAAGAGAACCCUAGAAGAAGUGCCAGGAACCAGAUGGAGUCCUCAAGGUCACACUGUGUUCCUGUUACUAAGCCUCCACCUCAUGUUUCCAUCACUUCCAAUAUUGCCCUCAAAUUAUGAUCUCAUCAGAAGACCAACUAGUUCCCUAAUGAAGCUGUGGUCAUUGCAAUGCAAUUACUUUGCCCAAAGCCCAUCAGAAUCAAGCUUUUAUCAAAAUGAGUCUCUUGAGUAGACAUUUUAGAUUCCAAUCAUAAUCACCAUGCUUGCAGAAGUUCUAUCCAUAGCCUUACUUCAGUAUUUAUUUGCAAUGUAUCUCAUGACUUGGCUGGCCUGAAGUGGUUAAGAUUUUCUUAUUUGUGUUAUUUCUACAAUCCACUACUGAAGUACACUGAUAAUGUUCAGAAUUUUCUUUUCGUAGAAUUUCAGCUUAUGUUCAUUGUGUACUUCUACAAAUAGUUUCCAGAAAGUAAUAUUAUGUUGUUUUGUAGGCAGAAUAACAUACCCCUUUCCCAAACACAGAUGUCAGCACCUACAUUUAUAGAAUCUGCAAAUAGGUGACAUGACAAAGAAGAACUAUGAUUGCAGAUGGAAUCAUUAUUUGUUAGGUAACCUUAAAUUAUGAUUCUCUUCAUUACACUUCUGAAUAUACUUCAGUAUACUUCAUUAUCCUAGUGGAAUCACAUGGUUAUUUAAAUAUGGAAGAAGGAGGUAGAAAUGGCAGAAUUUCAGUCAGCAAGAGAUGUCAUGUUGAAAUAAGAUUGGAGUGAUAAGAACGUAGUCAUCUCAUCAUCAUUGCUGGCUCUUAAAACAUGAAGCAGGCCACAAACCAAGGACUACAGGCAGCAUCUAGUAGCUAGAAUGGAUAAAGAAAUGUAUUCUACCUCAUGGCUUACAUUAAGGAAUCUGACUCUGCCAUUACCUUAAUUUUUCAGCCAGUGAAACCUUUGUCAGAUACCUGACCUUCAGGAAGUAAGAUAUUAAAUUUGUGUUGCUUCUUUAAGAAUAUAAAUUGCUGAUGAUUUCUUAUAACAGCAUUAAUAACCUACUAUUAGUCAACUCAAAUUUUGUCUUUGUCUAACAUGCUUUAAAUAUUAGAGAAAUUAUACACCUUCAUGACAUAGAAAACUGAAUAUCCAAGUAAUAGAUAGGUGGUAUUUCUCUCAAAAAUUGACUAUUUGUCAGCACUUAAGGGGUUAACGUUUCAGCUUGGAAGGUUCUGCCUUCCUGCAGGCAGCAGAGGAAGGAGGAAACAUUUUUCUACCCUCCUCUGUGAAGCAGAUUCAUUUUAGAUUUGAAAAAGAAGCUGGGUAUUUUCUUCAUUAAUUUCUAAGCAUUGUAAUUAUAGGCUAACUUCUUCAUAUAGUGGCAGUAGUCUUAUAUUCCAAAAAGACAAAUUGUAAUAUAUUUUCCUUUCUUUAAUCCUAAGUAUUUUGGUUGGAAUUUGAAAGAUCCUUUCAGAAAUGAUUUUCAUGUAAUAAUUUUAAUUGUACCUUAAUGAUUUCAUACAAACCCCAUUAAAGUUACACGACAGACACAGCAGCAUGUUUCUAUGGAUUUGAAUAAGCAUAUCCAUGAGACUGGCGCACUCAUUUGCAUCGGUAUCUAAUCACAAUCAAGGCUUGUUUUAAUUUAGAUUCUGAAGUAGACAAAAUUAGUGCUUAAAUUUUGAUGUAAGAAUGUUUGUAAGUUGUGUUAUUCUCCAAUGAGAAACCCAGACAUUAUUACUUAUGUAUAAAACUGUUUAAAAUAAGUGUCACAUUUUUAUGUUUACUUUGAACAAAACCCUUGUAAUUUGCUUCUCUAAAACAUUUUCUUACUUCAUCUUGGUCUCUUCUUCCAUCUCUCUCAUUCCUAUUUAUUAAAUGCCUUAUGGGAAACUUGGACAUGGUCCACCAUCUUUAGAAAAUUUUUUGUGGAGAACAACUAUCAGUUAUAUUAUUUUAAUUGAAUGUUUGGAGAUUUAAGAGAAAACUGACUGUUCUUUGUUAUUUCUUAUCCCUCCCACCCUGUGUUCAAAUAUAGACUGAGAUGCAGAUUGAGAAAAAUUCUUCAUAGCAUUUUCAUUGUUUUCUUUAUGAAAACUAGAAAGCUGUAAACAUUUUUGGUAAUAUCGACAUUAUAUAUAAGCACACAUGGAAUGUAACAUUUAUGUAUGUCAAAAUUCAAUAAAAUGAUGGAAUGCUAAAGUUGAA